rnacentral:rRNA from 1 species
UACGUAGGGUGCGAGCGUUGUCCGGAAUUAUUGGGCGUAAAGAGCUCGUAGGCGGUGUGUCACGUCGGCCGUGAAAACCUGCAGCUUAACUGUGGGCGUGCGGUCGAUACGGGCAUCACUGGAGUUCGGCAGGGGAGACUGGAAUUCCUGGUGUAGCGGUGAAAUGCGCAGAUAUCAGGAGGAACACCGGUGGCGAAGGCGGGUCUCUGGGCCGAUACUGACGCUGGAGGUGCGAAAGCGUGGGGAGCAAACAGG